UGGUCUGGGGGGAUAGAGAGGUCUGAAGGAGGAUUUAGGGGUGCAGAGAACAGAUGGGUCUGUAAGGGAUAUAUUUAGGGGGCACAGUAUCUGGCAGGGUUAUAAUGAUUAUUGUCUUCUUAUGGAGGAUGAGGAUCUGUGGACAAAGUGACUAACGUAUGAUGUGCUUGUGUCAGACUCUGCAGAGAAGAUGGAGCUGGAAGAAGUCCUGGCAUCUGGACCAGAUAAAGAAGAAGAGAAAAGACAACAGAGAAGACGUCACUCAGGGACCCGCUAAAUACAGAUGGCCAUGACGUGGCUAGCGGGCUUGUACUUCAUGAUCAUCAAGUACAGUAACGACCCAUUAGUGUAAUAUACUAAGCCCAGUGCAGAUACACAUGAUACUAAGGAUGAUAUUAUCUGUGUGUGGUGUGGCCACGCCCACUGAUGUCACACAUGUGAUGUCAUAAAUCUAUAGAAUCUUGGGGCUAACAAAAACGGCUGCAGCCCUGACUUUGUUGAGGGAGUUGUAUCACAGCAGUGAUGGCGAGCAGUGGAAAGCGAACGGGAAAGCGCAAGUUUGACCAGGUGACCAAGGACACCACCAAACCGGCUAUAACAUUCCAGCCAACACCGGCCAAAAGAUCUCCGCCCGCUUUGGCUCCCAGAUCAAUCCCGGCUUUAACAUCUCAGCCGGAGGACAUGGAGGUGGAGGGGAGACAAUUCCCUGAGGAUAUCGACAUGUAUGAUCUGGAGCCAAAGACGAGGAAUUACACCUAUGAUGCGGAUGGAUCUUGUGUCAUGGCCGAUAUGAGCUGGAUUUGGAAGAGAAGGCGUUAGAUCUACUUCUCCAGGAACAUCAUCUAUAACAUCUAUUGGGGAACUCUCUUGAGUUUCCCAAUAACAUCUAUAACAUUUGAGACUCUCCUGAAGACUCAUCCAGUGAGGAGACCUCAGUGUAGUAGAUUAGCAGCAGCCGGCACAUCUGAUACAGCGCCUUCCAGCCUCGCCAUAGAGAAGACAUCACUGUGCUACGAUCUCAGAACAUUUGAAGAUACUGCGCCCUCCAGCCUCUACGCAGAGAUGACAUCACUGUGCUUAAAUCUCACAACAUGUUACAUUUUGAGAUUUAAUAGUAAAAAAAUAUAUAUUUUUUAUCA